GACGAACGCUGGCGGCGUGCUUAACACAUGCAAGUCGAACGGUGAUGCUCCAGCUUGCUGGAGUGGAUCAGUGGCGAACGGGUGAGUAACACGUGAGCAACCUGCCCCAGACUCUGGAAUAAGCGCUGGAAACGGCGUCUAAUACUGGAUACGAAACUGGCCCGCAUGGGCAUGGUUUGGAAAGUUUGUCGGUUUGGGAUGGGCUCGCGGCCUAUCAGCUUGUUGGUGAGGUAAUGGCUCACCAAGGCGACGACGGGUAGCCGGCCUGAGAGGUCGACCGGCCACACUGGGACUGAGACACGGCCCAGACUCCUACGGGAGGCAGCAGUGGGGAAUAUUGCACAAUGGGCGAAAGCCUGAUGCAGCGACGCCGCGUGAGGGAUGACGGCCUUCGGGUUGUAAACCUCUUUCAGCAGGGAAGAAGCGAAAGUGACGGUACCUGCAGAAGAAGCACCGGCUAACUACGUG
rnacentral:rRNA from 1 species